rnacentral:rRNA from 1 species
AUUGAACGCYGGCGGCAGGCCUAACACAUGCAAGUCGAACGGUAACAGGAAGCAGCUUGYUGCUUKGSWKACGAGUGGCGGACGGGUGAGUAAKGUCUGGGAAASUGCMUGAUGGAGGGGGAUAACUACUGGAAACGGUAGCUAAUACCGCAUAACGUCGCAAGACCAAAGAGGGGGACCUUCGGGCCUCUUGCCAUCGGAUGUGCCCAGAUGGGAUUAGSUUGUUGGUGGGGUAACGGCUCACCAAGGSGACGAUCCCUAGCUGGUYUGAGAGGAUGACCAGCCACACUGGAACUGAGACACGGUCCAGACUCSUACGGGAGGCAGCAGUGGGGAAUAUUGCACAAUGGGCGCAAGCCUGAUGCAGCCAUGCCGSGKGUAUGAAGAAGGCCUUCGGGUUGUAAAGUACUUUCAGCGGGGAGGAAGGGAGUAAAGU